GAUGAACGCUGGCGGCAUGCUUUACACAUGCAAGUCGGACGGGAAGUGGUGUUUCCAGUGGCGGGCGGGUGAGUAACGCGUAAGAACCUGCCCUUGGGAGGGGAACAACAGCUGGAAACGGCUGCUAAUACCCCGUAGGCUGAGGAGCGAAAGGAGGAAUCCGCCCAAGGAGGGGCUCGCGUCUGAUUAGCUAGUUGGUGAGGUAAUAGCUUACCAAGGCCGUGAUCAGUAGCUGGUCCGAGAGGAUGAUCAGCCACACUGGGACUGAGACAAGGCCCAGACUCCUACGGGAGGCAGCAGUGGGGAAUUUUCCGCAAUGGGCGAAAGCCUGACGGAGCAAUGCCGCGUGGAGGUAAAAGGCCUACGGGUCAUGAACUUCUUUUCCUGGAGAAGAAACAAUGACGGUAGCUGGGGAAUAAGCAUCGGCUAACUCUGUG
rnacentral:rRNA from 1 species